UUUCAUUGGACAUGAUAUUAAAAAGAUUUGAAGUUGCGUCCCCAGAUUAUGCAUAAACCCUGUUACCAUCCUAAUUCCCUUUUAUUAAAAGGAUGCUAAUUUCUGUAAAUAAUAUUUAAAAAGUUAUGAAGGAGGUGGUUUUAAAAAGGCAGCCUAUACCAUUUUAUACAACAAACAGCUGGUUAUAAUCUCAGAGCUAUUAGUUAUUAUAAAUUAUAAUUCAGAAACAUAAUCUAAUCUUAGAGUGAUACAAUGUUUAAUAUCUAAGGAAAAAAAACAUUUUAAAAUGGUAAUUGGCCCAUUUCAUACAUUUACUGUUUUUGACAGAUACUCCAGAAGAGCCCUCAGAAAACGGGAAACUUGCGGGAACAUUACACAAAUUCAAUGCAAUGCACAACUGAGGCGUGAUUUCAUUCUAGCGUUAUGUGCAAAUGAAGGCUAAAGAUGCUCUAUGAUUUUAAGAGGUAAUUGCACAUGUUAUCAUUUGGAACAAUAUGGGGUGAGCUGCACGGGCUAAUGAGAGAGAGCAUCAUUUCACGCCCAUAGGAGUAGUGUAUUUCCAGGCUUGGGCAAUAAUCGUAGGUCCGAGAGCAUCCCCAGCGAAAGAGUAUUGAUCGCUUUACAGGUAUAUUGUAGUGGGGGAACGUGAAUAGGCGAGCGAUGAGGAUAUUUGCUCCUUCGACACUCCAGCUGAAAGAUGCGAUAGUGUCACGGCGCGUCGUCGUUACCGAAAGAUCAAAGGGAAUUCCGUAAAAGUGCGUUGGACAGCAAACUGUUACCGGCGUUCGUGCUUAUCGAAAGGUUAACGACUGUCGGGACCAUAUUACCUUUGAAAAAACCGGGACGAGAAGCGGUGCAAGAUGUUUUCCUGAAAUCAAGUUUGAGCAGGUAUUUUGAUGAUACAGCCCAAACCGGUAAAGUCUCCAUAAUGCUGUGGAAGGAUACAGAAUUGCUGCUUCUGUUUAUUUUUCCAUUGAUUUCAGCCCAGGACUCUGAACUACCUGCAGUAAUGGACAGUGACAUUCUCACCGAAUUUGCAUACCAACCUGGGCCAUCGUACCUGAGUCUGAUCCUGCUGGCUCUGACCGUGGGACUGUCCGGCAGCGUUUACCUCUGUGUGCUGCGGUACAUUUGCACCGGCUGCUGCCAGCCUGUAGUUGUUGGACCUGAAGAUGAGAGCAUGUCAGGAGUGGUGUGAUAGCAGCUUUUGUUUGAUUCAUGACUGUGAGAUUGGUAUGUGUGUUGAAGCACUUAUGUUGGUCUUCUUGAGUGGUGAAAUAGACAUCAAUGUUCUUGCCUUAUUUAAGUAAUAUGGUUGAAAACAGUGAAAAUCUGGUCAACUAUUCCUGUUAUUUUCAAAAUAAAACAGCAAUGUUUCAGUCAGAGAUCACUGAAAAUCUCUGAUUAAAAUGUUAUUGUUUUAUUUCAGUUGAACAGUGUGCAGAUUUUUGGUUGAGGAAUAGCCCUAUGUUUUUCUAUGUUUCCAUUUUCCUUUUGAAAUACUUAAAUAUAAAUCACACUUUUUUAAUUAAUGUAACAGAGCUAAAGGGUCAUAUAAAGGACAUCAGAAUGUUUAAAAUGUAAGAUAGAAUUUGUAUAAUAAACUGCUUAUCGCUUGUUACUCACUUGAGAUAAAAG